GCCAGGCACGGUGGCGUGCGCCUGUAAUCCCAGCUACUUGGGAGGCUGAGACAGGAGACUUGCUUGAACCCAGGAGACAGAGGUUGCAGUGAGCCAAGAUUGCGCCACUGUGCUCCAGCCUGGGUGACAGAGCAAGAUUCCGUCUCAA
ensembl:misc_RNA Metazoa_SRP Metazoan signal recognition particle RNA